rnacentral:rRNA from 1 species
AAGGAACUCGGCAAAUUGACACCGUAACUUCGGAAGAAGGUGUGCCUUUAGUAGGUGAACCUGUACAAGGGGAGCCCAAUGAGGUUGCAAAAAAUCGGUGGCUGCGACUGUUUAAUAAAAACACAGCACUCUGCAAACACGAAAGUGGACGUAUAGGGUGUGACGCCUGCCCGGUGCUGGAAGAUUAAAUGAUGGGGUGCAAGCUCUUGAUUGAAGUCCCAGUAAACGGCGGCCGUAACGAUAACGGUCCUAAGGUAGCGAAAUUCCUUGUCGGGUAAGUUCCGACCUGCACGAAUGGCGUAACGAUGGCCGCACUGUCUCCUCCUGAGACUCAGCGAAGUUGAAAUGUUUGUGAUGAUGCAAUCUCCCCGCGGAAAGACGGAAAGACCCCAUGAACCUUUACUGUAGCUUUGUAUUGGACUUUGAACAGAUCUGUGUAGGAUAGGUGGGAGGCUUUGAAGUGUGGUCGCUAGAUCGCAUGGAGCCAACGUUGAAAUACCACCCUGGUGUGUUUGAGGUUCUAACCUAGGCCCGUAAUCCGGGUCGGGGACAGUGCAUGGUAGGCAGUUUGACUGGGGCGGUCUCCUCCCAAAGCGUAGCGGAGGAGUUCGAAGGUACGCUAGGUACGGUCGGACAUCGUGCUAAUAGUGCAAUGGCAUAAGCGUGCUUAACUGCGAGACUGACAAGUCGAGCAGAUGCGAAAGCAGGACAUAGUGAUCCGGUGGUUCUGUAUGGAAGGGCCAUCGCUCAACGGAUAAAAGGUACUCUGGGGAUAACAGGCUGAUACCGCCCAAGAGUUCAUAUCGACGGCGGUGUUUGGCACCUCGAUGUCGGCUCAUCUCAUCCUGGGGCUGUAGCCGGUCCCAAGGGUAUGGCUGUUCGCCAUUUAAAGAGGUACGUGAGCUGGGUUUAAAACGUCGUGAGACAGUUUGGUCCCUAUCUUCCGUGGGCGCUGCAGAUUUGAGGAAGCCUGCUCCUAGUACGAGAGGACCGGAGUGGACACACCUCUGGUGUAUCGGUUGUCACGCCAGUGGCAUUGCCGAGUAGCUAUGUGUGGAAGAGAUAACCGCUGAAAGCAUCUAAGCGGGAAACUCGUUUCAAGAUGAGAUCUGCCGGGGCCUUGAGCCCCCUAAAGAGUCGUUCAAGACCAGGACGUUGAUAGGUCGGGUGUGGAAGCGCAGUAAUGCGCUAAGCUAACCGAUACUAAUUGCUCGUGCGGCCUGACCG